rnacentral:rRNA from 1 species
CUGCGGCAGCGAACGUAUCACCCAAGACAACUUUGCGGAGUUGACGAUUGACGGAGCGAAGCGACGUCAAAGCGUUCAUUAAAGUCGAGUUGGCUUAGGGAUACGUUCGUUGGGUAGGGGAGCGUUCUGUAAGCCUGUGAAGGUGUGUCGUGAGGCAUGCUGGAGGUAUCAGAAGUGCGAAUGCUGACAUAAGUAACGAUAAAGCGGGUGAAAAGCCCGCUCGCCGGAAGACCAAGGGUUCCUGUCCAACGUUAAUCGGGGCAGGGUGAGUCGACCCCUAAGGCGAGGCCGAAAGGCGUAGUCGAUGGGAAACGGGUUAAUAUUCCCGUACUUGGUGUUACUGCGAAGGGGGGACGGAGAAGGCUAUGUUGGCCGGGCGACGGUUGUCCCGGUUUAAGCGUGUAGGUGUGUGUUCCAGGUAAAUCCGGUUCACUUUAACACUGAGGCGUGACGACGAGGCACUACGGUGCUGAAGCAACAAAUGCCCUGCUUCCAGGAAAAGCCUCUAAGCAUCAGGUAACAUCAAAUCGUACCCCAAACCGACACAGGUGGUCAGGUAGAGAAUACCAAGGCGCUUGAGAGAACUCGGGUGAAGGAACUAGGCAAAAUGGUGCCGUAACUUCGGGAGAAGGCACGCUGACACGUAGGUGAAGUGAUUUACUCAUGGAGCUGAAGUCAGUCGAAGAUACCAGCUGGCUGCAACUGUUUAUUAAAAACACAGCACUGUGCAAACACGAAAGUGGACGUAUACGGUGUGACGCCUGCCCGGUGCCGGAAGGUUAAUUGAUGGGGUCAGCGCAAGCGAAGCUCCUGAUCGAAGCCCCGGUAAACGGCGGCCGUAACUAUAACGGUCCUAAGGUAGCGAAAUUCCUUGUCGGGUAAGUUCCGACCUGCACGAAUGGCGUAAUGAUGGCCAGGCUGUCUCCACCCGAGACUCAGUGAAAUUGAACUCGCUGUGAAGAUGCAGUGUACCCGCGGCAAGACGGAAAGACCCCGUGAACCUUUACUAUAGCUUGACACUGAACAUUGAGCCUUGAUGUGUAGGAUAGGUGGGAGGCUUUGAAGCGUGGACGCCAGUCUGC